rnacentral:tRNA from 1 species
GCACUAUUAGCUCAACUGGAUAGAGCGUUGGUCUACGGAACCAAAGGCUAGGAGUUCGAACCUCUUACGGUGCACCA